AGUGAACGCUGGCGGUAGGCCUAACACAUGCAAGUCGAACGGCAGCACAGGAGAGCUUGCUCUCUGGGUGGCGAGUGGCGGACGGGUGAGGAAUACAUCGGAAUCUACUCUGUCGUGGGGAUAACGUAGGGAAACUUACGCUAAUAACGCAUACGACCUACGGGUGAAAGCAGGGGACCUUCGGGCCUUGCGCGAUUGAAUGAGCCGAUGUCGGAUUAGCUAGUUGGCGGGGUAAAGGCCCACCAAGGCGACGAUCCGUAGCUGGUCUGAGAGGAUGAUCAGCCACACUGGAACUGAGACACGGUCCAGACUCCUACGGGAGGCAGCAGUGGGGAAUAUUGGACAAUGGGCGCAAGCCUGAUCCAGCCAUACCGCGUGGGUGAAGAAGGCCUUCGGGUUGUAAAGCCCUUUUGUUGGGAAAGAAAUCCAGCUGGCUAAUACCCGGUUGGGAUGACGGUACCCAAAGAAUAAGCACCGGCUAACUUCGUGCCAGCAGCCGCGGUAA
rnacentral:rRNA from 1 species